rnacentral:other from 1 species
AGAUUACUGGGAUGUACGGAGGCCUAUUAUUUUGAACCUACAUUUAUAAUAAGGGAGUUCGGAAGUUUACUAGUAUAGGAUCAGGCCACAAGAUAAUUCCGAAAUUUGUACAUGAGGCAAAUUAAACGGCAGUGGAAGAUUUAAGCUUUUAACAGGACACCCACCUAGCCGGGGCUAGGUGUCAAAAUAUAGGUAAACGGCAUUCUGGUUUGGGU